AUCUGUCCUUAGGUGGGGGAUAACUGUGGGAAACUUCAGCUAAUACCGCAUGAAACCUGUGGGUCAAAGGAGCAAUUCGCCUCAGGAGGAGCUUGCGUCCGAUUAGUUAGUUGGUGGGGUAAGAGCCCACCAAGGCUACGAUCGUUAUCUGGUCUGAGAGGAUGAUCAGCCACAUUGGGACUGAGACACGGUCCAAACUCCUACGGGAGGCAGCAGUGGGGAAUAUUGGACAAUGGGGGAAACCCUGAUCCAGCAAUGCCGCGUGUGGGAAGAAGUUCUUUGGAUUGUAAAGCCCUUUCGAUGGGGACGAUGAUGACGGUACCCGUAGAAGAAGCCCCGGCUAACUUCGUGCCAGCAGCCGCGGUAAUACGAAGGGGGCUAGCGUUGCUCGGAAUGACUGGGCGUAAAGGGAGCGUAGGCGGAUUGUACAGUCAGAUGUGAAAUUCCCGGGCUUAACCUGGGGGCUGCAUUUGAUACGUAUAGUCUUGAGUGAGGAAGAGGGUUGUGGAAUUCCCAGUGUAGAGGUGAAAUUCGUAGAUUCUGGGAAGAACACCGGUGGCGAAGGCGGCUACCCUGUCCAUGACUGACGCU
rnacentral:rRNA from 1 species